UACGUAGGGACCGAGCGUUGUCCGGAUUCAUUGGGCGUAAAGAGCUCGUAGGCGGCUAUUCAAGUCGAACGUGAAAUCUCGGAGCUCAACUCCGAACUGCGUUCGAUACUGGGUAGCUAGAGUCUGGUAGGGGGAUCUGGAAUUCCUGGUGUAGCGGUGGAAUGCGCAGAUAUCAGGAGGAACACCAAUGGCGAAGGCAGCUCGCUGGAACGGUACUGACGCUGAGAAGCGAAAGCAUGGGGAGCGAACAGG
rnacentral:rRNA from 1 species